rnacentral:rRNA from 1 species
GGGUCAGUAGUUUGGUCGUGCCACCGGUACGUACUGGUCUCACUGAUUCCUCCUUCCUGAAGAACCGUAAUGCCAUUAAUUUGGUGUUGCGGGGAAACAGGACUGUUACUUUGAAAAAAUUAGAGUGUUUAAAGCAAGAUAACGCUUGAAUACAUUAGCAUGGAAUAAUGAAAUAGGACGAUCGAUCCUAUAGUGUUGGUUUCUAGGAUUGACGUA